rnacentral:lncRNA from 1 species
CUAGGGUUUUUGUUUUCAUAUCUUUCCUCCCUCCAUCUUGAGUUUCCUGAGAGCGUCUCAGAUCUGAAAAUCCUCCUUCUACUUUUCAUCUUUGGAAGAGUCUAAAUCAAGAAGAAGGAGGCACCUGAUCAACCAUCAAAGAAGGAUCAGCACAGUACUAGCAUACUGUGCUAAUUUCCUGAAGCAGGACUUCUGAUCGAGAUUCGUGGGCUCGUGUGGAUGACUCCUAGAGGCCGGACGUGUGUGCGGCUUGCAACAUCAUCCUCAAGCCCAGAUCAACAAGGUUAGAACGUCUAACUUGCAAGGUAAUAGAUCUGAUCUAUUAUUUAAUACAUACAUUAGAUG